rnacentral:rRNA from 1 species
AUAUACGACCGUACCGCAAACCGACACUGGUGCGCGAGAUGAGUAUUCUAAGGCGCUUGAGAGAACUCAGGAGAAGGAACUCGGCAAAUUGACACCGUAACUUCGGAAGAAGGUGUGCCCUAUUAGUGUGUAGUGAACAACGAAGCAUGAAUGGGUUGCAAAAAAUCGGUGGCUGCGACUGUUUAUUAAAAACACAGCACUCUGCAAACACGAAAGUGGACGUAUAGGGUGUGACGCCUGCCCGGUGCUGGAAGAUUAAAUGAUGGGGUGCAAGCUCUUGAUUGAAGUCCCAGUAAACGGCGGCCGUAACAAUAACGGUCCUAAGGUAGCGAAAUUCCUUGUCGGGUAAGUUCCGACCUGCACGAAUGGCGUAACGAUGGCCACACUGUCUCCUCCUGAGACUCAGCGAAGUUGAAAUGUUUGUGAUGAUGCAAUCUCCCCGCGGAAAGACGGAAAGACCCCAUGAACCUUUACUGUAGCUUUGUAUUGGACUUUGAACAGAUCUGUGUAGGAUAGGUGGGAGGCUUUGAAGCAGGGUCGCUAGAUCUUGUGGAGCCAACGUUGAAAUACCACCCUGGUGUGUUUGAGGUUCUAACCUAGGUCCAUUAUCUGGAUCGGGGACAGUGCAUGGUAGGCAGUUUGACUGGGGCGGUCUCCUCCCAAAGCGUAACGGAGGAGUUCGAAGGUACGCUAGUUACGGUCGGACAUCGUGACGAUAGUGCAAUGGCAUAAGCGUGCUUAACUGCGAGACUGACAAGUCGAGCAGAUGCGAAAGCAGGACAUAGUGAUCCGGUGGUUCUGUAUGGAAGGGCCAUCGCUCAACGGAUAAAAGGUACUCUGGGGAUAACAGGCUGAUACCGCCCAAGAGUUCAUAUCGACGGCGGUGUUUGGCACCUCGAUGUCGGCUCAUCUCAUCCUGGGGCUGUAGCCGGUCCCAAGGGUAUGGCUGUUCGCCAUUUAAAGAGGUACGUGAGCUGGGUUUAAAACGUCGUGAGACAGUUUGGUCCCUAUCUUCCGUGGGCGCUGCAGAUUUGAGGAAGCCUGCUCCUAGUACGAGAGGACCGGAGUGGACACACCUCUGGUGUAUCGGUUGUCACGCCAGUGGCAUUGCCGAGUAGCUAAGUGUGGAAGAGAUAACCGCUGAAAGCAUCUAAGCGGGAAACUCGUUUCAAGAUGAGAUCUGCCGGGGCCUUGAGCCCCCUAAAGAGUCGUUCAAGACCAGGACGUUGAUAGGUCAGGUGUGGAAGCUGA